rnacentral:rRNA from 1 species
UGGGGAAUAUUGGACAAUGGGCGAAAGCCUGAUCCAGCCACGCCGCGUGAGUGAUGAAGGCCUUCGGGUCGUAAAGCUCUGUGGGGAGGGACGAACGAACGGUCGAAGAGGCCGGAAUGACGGUACCUCCUUAGCAAGCACCGGCUAACUUCGUGCCAGCAGCCGCGGUAAUACGAAGGGUGCAAACGUUGCUCGGAAUCAUUGGGCGUAAAGCGCACGUAGGCGGCCUGUUAAGUCGGAUGUGAAAUCC